CAUCAGCUAGUUGGUAAGGUAAUGGCCUACCAAGGCAAUGACGGGUAGGGGACCUGAGAGGGUGGCCCCCCACAAUGGAACUGAAACACGGUCCAUACACCUACGGGUGGCAGCAGUAGGGAAUAUUAGAAAUGGACGAAAGUCUGAUCUAGCGACACCGCGUGUGCGAUGAAGGCCUUCGGGUUGUAAAGCACUUUUUGGAAGGAAUAGGAAGGAAGGUACUUCCAGAAUAAGUCUCGGCUAACUACGUGCCAGCAGCCGCGGUAACACGUAGGAGGCAAACGUUAUCCGGAUUUACUGGGCGUAAAGCGCGUGUAGGUGGUUCUGUAAGUAGGGCGUGAAAGCUCCCGGCUCAACUGGGAGAGGCCGUUCUAAACUGCAGAGCUAGAGGAUGGUAGAGGGAGGUGGAAUUCCAGGUGUAGCGGUGGAAUGCGCAGAUAUCUGGAGGAACACCAGUGGCGAAGGCGGCCUCCUGGACCAUUCCUGACACUCAGACGCGAAAGCUAGGGUAGCAAACGGGAUUAGAGACCCCGGUAGUCCUAGCCCUAAACGAUGUAGACUAGACGUCGGUGGUGUAAUAGCUGUCGGUGUCCAAGCUAACGCGAUAAGUCUACCGCCUGGGGACUACGGCCGCAAGGUUAAAACUCAAAGGAAUUGACGGGUCCCCGCACAAGCAGCGGAGCGUGUGGUUUAAUUUCGUUGCUACACGAAGAACCUUACCUGGGUUUGACAUAGCAGUGUUAGGGAAGAAGAAAUCGGGACCGACCCUUCGGGGAGCUGUUACAGUGUUGCAUGCUGUCGUCAGCCUCGUGUCGUGAG
rnacentral:rRNA from 1 species